GGUUAUUGGUAAAACAUUGGUCCUUGAUGAGAUAAUCAAUUAUACUCAAUCAUAUCACCACCAAGUAGAGCUGUGAAUUCUUUAUCUAAUGUUGUAAUUCUUUGUGAAAAUAUGAAUGUUUGAUAAACUAUCUGAUAUGUUUGAUUCACAAUAAUUUAUAGCAGCAAAGCUUUUGAUAAAUGGUUGCAUAAAAGGGUUGAAAGUGAUAUAAUGCUUCCAAAAAGGUUGUUGGAGAGUCUUUCACAUGGUAAGCAAAUAGACAUGUGUAGGGGUUGAAAGUUUUUUUGUGAUUGGACAUGUAAAUUGGUUUCAUUUAUGCUUUUGUUUUUUGGUACAUCAUUUAUGCAUAUGUUUUACUUCACACUUUUAUUGGAAAGAACAAUAAGCUAGAAAGAAACUAUUGAUUUCAGUGUUUGGUGUAUGAUGAUAAAGGUCAAGUGAUGAUUAUUGAUUUAUGAAGUUGAGAUAUUUGUUCAUAAACUUUGGCACUUUGUAAGAUCCAUCAUAUUUUUUAGUUUACUUUAUUUCGAAAUAUCUUAUUUGAAUUGAGGGAAUGAAGACUAUCAAAUUGAGGGGUCAAGGGUGUUGUCGUUUUCACGCUGCAACCUAAAACAACUUUAGCAGGAAACAACUUUCACGCUGCUGCAAACUCCUCUGUACUCAAUUCAAAUUUCAAAUUCAAAUCACUUUCUCUCUCUCUCGCCCUCUUACUUUAUUUCAUGAGUUUUGAUUAUUUAUUUUUUUCUUUGAAUUUCUGUUGAAAAUACAGUUGGUUAGUUUCUAUCUUUUAGUUAAUAAUCCCUACUUUUUAGGAGAUCAAAACAACUAUCCCGAUUCCGGUUCCUUCCUAAUGUGAUGAGAAUUUGCUUCAUCUUUUCUCAACGUUUUUUUAAUUUUUGGUGUAUCUUAAUUGCCAUACAAACAAGCAAAUGUUUAUAAUCUGCUUUGUAGUUUGUA
rnacentral:lncRNA from 1 species